AUACGUAGGGGGCGAGCGUUGUCCGGAAUGAUUGGGCGUAAAGGGCGCGUAGGCGGCCCGGUAAGUCUGGAGUGAAAGUCCUGUUUUUAAGAUGGGAAUUGCUUUGGAUACUGUCGGGCUUGAGGGCAGGAGAGGUAAGUGGAAUUACCAGUGUAGCGGGGAAAUGCGUAGAGAUUGGGAGGAACACCAGUGGCGAAGGCGACUUACUGGACUGUAACUGACGCUGAGGCGCGAAAGUGUGGGGAGCAAACAGGAUUAGAUACCCUGGUAGUCCACACUGUAAACGAUGAAUGCUAGGUGUAGGGGGUAUCGACCCCUUCUGUGCCGCAGUCAACACAAUAAGCAUUCCGCCUGGGGAGUACGGCCGCAAGGUUGAAACUUAAAGGAAUUGACGGGG
rnacentral:rRNA from 1 species